GUGGGCGAGCCGCGACCACCCCAACCAAUGAGGGGACGUUUAAGCGGCACGAAGGGGCUGAGCCUGGGGAAGGGCGCGCGUAGUGCUGCGUGAAUCAGUGCGUGGUGUCUGCAGCACUGCGCACGAGACCGCGCACUUUUCCCGAACCGGUUCAGACCAGACGGUGCGAGGAGGUUUGGAAAACCGACAACGCUGUCUCCAUGCUGGAGUGGCAGGAGAUGAAACAAGGUCAUCACUAAACCAAAGACACUACCCAUCAUUUCCCUCUCAUCCCUUCUGUAUCCAGCUCUAAAGUUUGAGGCUUUCAUUACUAUUACUAUUAUUAUUAUUAAAUAACUUUCUAUUUAGACAAUGGCUACUGUAGAGUAGUGCCACCCAGGGGCGGUCGAGCUGAGCAGAGGGAGAACACUUCCAUGUGAUAAUGUCUGCCUCCUUUAGCAUCCUCUGAGCUGUGAGCUCAGCACACUGCAACGUCGGCGAGCCAACAGGAUCAAACCGGGCAGAGCCAGUCGAGCUGCCCAAUCAUCACAGAGUAGGGGGGAAGGCGCCGAAGUAGACACAUUCCUCUUCAUGAACGUCGCACAGUCAACAACACACAGACGUUUUCUGCUGCAACACCAAAAACAAAUCUCCCUUCUUAUUUGUCAUGUUCACCGCAUAAACACAAACCACAUAUGUUUUACUGUGAAGCUGCUGUAACCCUUGUUACACUGUAGGGAUGUAUGUUUUACAAGCGCUGGAAAAUCCUUGACACAGACGUGGCUCCCUGCAGGACUGUUAAAGUAAUGGUUUUCCUUUUGAGAUGUAGUGUGAAAAUGAAGUAGAAGUGGCCUCUUAAAGCCUUGACUUCAUUUAGGCCUGCUGUAUAAAAGCCCAUCAGUGUUUGCAUAGACAAUCAGCACAGAAGAUUGAACUAAUAGCUGUUCACUUUUUGUCAUCAAGAGGUGAACAAACAUUUCAUUGUUGUUGGCUGUGAGGUUAUUUUAGGCUCCAGGGGUUGCAUUUAGCAAGGAGGAGCUAUUAAACGACUUAAAAGACAAA